UACGUAGGGUGCGAGCGUUGUCCGGAAUUAUUGGGCGUAAAGGGCUCGUAGGCGGUUUGUCGCGUCGGGAGUGAAAACCACGAGCUUAACUCAUGGCUUGCUUUCGAUACGGGCAGACUAGAGGUAUGCAGGGGAGAACGGAAUUCCUGGUGUAGCGGUGAAAUGCGCAGAUAUCAGGAGGAACACCGGUGGCGAAGGCGGGUCUCUGGGCAACAACUGACGCUGAGGAGCGAAAGCGUGGGGAGCGAACAGG
rnacentral:rRNA from 1 species